rnacentral:misc_RNA from 1 species
GCGUUCAGCCAGGAUGGUAGUAACUGUGCACGCGCGAAGAAAAAGCUAUAGUGAAUAAGUUCUGUGUGAAGUUGUUGGUGUUGUGUAGUGUAUGGUGUUCCAAAUAUCUCAAUUUUUUUGGAAAUGGCGUUGGAAUUAAGACUUCAUAGCCCUGCUGGAGCAGAAGCCGUUGUUUAUCAGUGGCCACUUUCCUCAGGAACGGGCUCUGAUAAACAUGACGGUGCGCUUGAGAUAGUGGAAACCAUAAGAUGGGUGUGCGAAGACCUGCCAGAGCUGAAACUACCUCUUGAAAACAACAUUUUGUGUGAUUACGACACACGCAGUUACGAAAGCAUGAAGAACCUCUGUGACAGGUACAAUAGAGCGAUAGACAGCAUCGUGCAACUGGAAAAAGGUACAUCACUGCCAGCACAGCGAUUAAACAAGCAUCCGUCCCGAGGUCUCCUGAGGCACAUAUUACAGCAAGUGUAUAACCAGGCUGUCACUGAUCCAGAGAAGCUAAACCAGUAUGAACCUUUCUCACCAGAGGUUUACGGUGAAACAUCGUAUGAUCUUGUAUGCCAAAUGAUUGACCAAAUAGAAAUCACAAAGGAUGAUGUAUUUGUUGACCUGGGAUCAGGAGUUGGUCAAGUGGUUUUGCAGAUGGCAGCAGCAACACCUUGCAAAAUAUGUUUUGGCGUUGAAAGAGCUGAAAUUCCAUCGAUGUAUGCCGAGGCUAUGAACGUACACUUCCGCAAAUGGAUGCGUUGGUAUGGGAAGAAAUAUGGAGAGUAUCGCCUUAUAAAAGGAGAUUUCCUGAAUGACGAACAUCGUGAAAAGAUUAUCAGUGCAACCAUUGUGUUUGUCAACAACUUUGCAUUUGGACCAACAGUAGAUCACAUGUUAAAAGAACGGUUUGCUGAUCUGAAAGAUGGAGCCCGAAUAGUGUCAUCAAAAUCAUUUUGUCCUCUGAACUUCCGCAUAACUGAUAGGAAUCUUAGUGAUAUAGGAACGAUAAUGCACGUGUCAGAAAUGACUCCCCUCCGUGGAUCUGUUUCGUGGACCAACAAACCUGUUUCGUACUAUUUACACAUAAUAGACAGAGCAAAGCUUGAGCGCUAUUUCCAAGGGUUGAAGAAUCCAAAAUUAAAAGGUGGAGGUGCGGCAGCAGGCGGUGAAGAAGAGAACACACCACCUCGUACGUCGAGAGAUCGUGCGAGGCGUGAUCUCAGUAAACAGCUGAAUCUGGACACCAGUUCCAAUAGCUCUCAUGACAGUGACGACAGUUCUGCAUUGGUAACAAGUCGUGUGGUCACUGGACCAACAACUAGGCGUGCAUGGAGUGACUGGUGUAGCAGUAAGGGCAAGAGUAGUCAGAGUGAGGAGGAAAACAACAACAGCAGUAGCAACAAUGGUAAAGCAAAGGCUCGGCAUCCCAAAAAGUUGAGAAGAAAACUCACACGAGUUGGAAAGCAGCAGCCGCCACCACCACAGCAGAUAGUAAAUAUUCCGCCUCCGAGAGCCCAGACGAAACGAGGAGCUAGAGGCCGGGUGAAGAAAGGGAAAUCCAAGAAGGCAAUAAAAAUAAAUGGGCUCGACUUGUUACACAGUCAGACAUUACUCAGUACGUCACCACAGGCUAUUGGCAAGAAGUUGCCCCCAGCUCCAGGUUGCGUGGAUCAACAGCUCACCAGUCUUUCCUUGAACACAAGCAGUGUUCAUGAAGAGCUUGACAUUCCCCCAGCACCUGCUGAGACACCUUAUGCUCUGCAAAUUCUUUUGGACCUCUAUCGUGCCCAGUUCCUGCAGAUGGUGGACAUGAUGAAGAAUCCUGCUUUCCGUGAUAGUGUUGAAGUUCAAAUUGAAACUGAAAAGGAACGUAACUUAAAGUUAAUGAGCAGAGCUGCCCAAUUGGAAAAACAGAUCAAGGUUUUGAUAGACGAUAGUGUGGCACUGCUGAAAGCUCGAAUGUGUGAGCUCGGCAUAAAUGCCAGUUCUCCGGGGGACCUGCUUGCCAAGGCAAAGGAAAUUGUCCUGAGGCACAAAGAGCUGCAGGCAAAGGCCUCCAAACUUCAGGCACAGGUUUCGUCAUUGGAACAAGACCAAGCAAAGUACAUGAGCAUGAGACAGCAAGAAAUACUGGAAAAGUAUCGUAAAGCUGGAAUAAUAAAUGGUGCUAAUCAAGGAAGUAUAGAUAUAUCUGUAUUAACACAGGACUAUAUAUUAAAGGAAAUUUCCGCAACACUGACACACAGGAAGAAGCUACGCACAAAAGUAUCGAGAUUAGAAACGGAACUGACAGCUCUUCAAAAAGUGAGUGAAGACAGGAAACCUCAGCUGAGUCAGUUCUCAUCAGGAUCGAGAAUUCAAAACGGUACAGGUGUGUAUGAUGGUGCGAGCCCUGUGGCAGAUGGCACUGCUUCACCCCGCCACUCGCUGCAAGCGACGGCCGGCUUGUCUGCUCACCACGGUCAUUCUCCUGUGGCAAAAGCUCAGAGAAAGUCGAGAGAGAAUCGUUCCCGCUCUCAAGAUUGGCCAGAUGUUCCAGAUAUCGGAAAGAUUGAAGAAAAUAACCCAGAGAUACUGGCUCAGAAGAUUUUGGAAACUGGAAGGCAGAUAGAGGCUGGAAAGAUCAGAGAAGUGCCGAAAUUUAACGGAAGUCACAUUCCCUCCUUACCCCAACCAGAAACAGGAACUUCAAAUGGCGAUUUAACUCGUGCCGUAAACAGGUUCAGAGAAUAUGGUGGCACUCAUGGCUAUUCUAAACACGAAUCCCAGGUGGCGACCUCUAGAGGACAGCAGCGCAGCUGUGCGGUGCCGACAGACACGAAGCCGGCUAAGCAACCGAGGCCUCAGAGUCGUCCCGAGCCGACAGGAGUUUCUGGCGGCCGAGGGCAGGAGCCCCCGAGGGUCGCAAAUUUUGAAGACAGGCUGAAGAGUAUCAUCACCAGUGUUCUGAAUGAGGACCAGCAAAAUAGACAGCAGCAAACUUCCCACAACCUGCAAGUACCUGCUCCUCCACCUCCGAGUGGUUACUCGCAUAUAACUAACGUGACAAAUACAGUCGCGAAUACGUUUGGCACAAGUGGAAGUUUCUGUACGAGUGGAAACACGAGCUCGCAGGCACUCGCUUGCGGUAUCGUGAAUAGUGAGACCGGAAAGGUUAACCGUGAUUUCAAAAAAGGUAGCUACGAAGGGGAGAGACAGUUCCGUAGGGAGUCUCGAGAAAAGUGUGGUAACCCAGGCGGUGCUCAUCCGAGAAACGUCGCUGCUCUCCAGCAGCCCGACUACACCCAGGUGUCUCCUGCAAAACUGGCACUGCGGCGACAUUUGUCCCAGGAGAAGCUAGCUGCCGCUUCUGCUCAACAGAUACAGUCCCUGGGAAGUGGUGAGAAAGGGUUUGUAGCCACCAGAACCAUCGGUGACCUCGUUAAUGGCGAAAUUGAAAGGACGUUAGAAAUAUCUAACCAGAGCAUUAUAAAUGCCGCUGUAGACAUGAGCUCUAUGGUCGUCGGCACUGUGUCUUCUGCAACGGUGGUGAAUCAGAAUAUACCGAGGCCGGAGAGAGUGAAUGUGAGAGUGACACGUGUCGUGGAAGAAAAUGUUGCUAGAAGAGAUGACGACAGAAUUAGCACAUGUGCCAACAGCUCCGGAAGCGUAUCACCCCCUCGGCGCACGCCAGUCUAUUCACCCAUAUCGAGACCUAGCAGUGCCGAAGGUGGUAUUAUCGUUCCUGGAAAUCCGCCAACACCUGUGGGUAAUCUGCAGCAACGGGCGCCGUCCUUGGAGGGUCUGGCAUACCCUCAGCACAGACCAAAGUCACCCUUAAAUCGACACCCUCACCACGGCCUCGCGACACUGGCUCACGUCGCAUAUGACCGUGUGAAUAGUGGCUAUGCACCGCAACCGACAUCCGUAGUGCCCCGUAGCUUUUCUCCAAGAACGACUGUCCUCUAUCCACUGCCAUCAUCUGGUUAUCCCCAGAGAUCUGCUCCUCACACUGUGUCUUCUGCUUCAUGUCGGUACGCCACAUCUUGCACUGAAGCUAGCUUCUCCCCGGUCCAGCUACCUAGAGCUGACAUUAAACCGUACCACGAGUCAUACUUCAGUGACACGAAACCGCCCAUCAUUGUGAGUGCAGCACUGGCUCAACAAGACCACAAGCCACCUGUGUCAGUGCAGUCUGAAGAGGCAGCUACGCCAAAACCGCACUAUUCUGGGAGUGUCGACGAUGGCUCAUUUGCUCCUGUCGAGGGCCUGGCAGCCACACUACGUGCAAGGAUACUUGGCGACAGAGAAACUGCUACACCCGAACACGUGCGACGUCCGGAUUCCUUGAGUGUCAAGAUAGAGGUGGAGGAUUCCGCUAAAAGAUCGGAUUGUAUGAUGUAUGAAAACAGGCAGCAAGUUCAACGAGUAGACGCAUUGAAACCUGAACACGAAUACGAACAGGAGAAUGAGUUGGAAGAGCAGAGGAUUAGUGAUCCGAGGUAUGUAACAACCUUAAGUUCUGAUGAGGCGAAGAAGAUGAGAGUGCCUCACUCUAGUACAGCACAGUCGAAUACAGCGAUAAUACAGAAUGUUGCUUCCACUGUGGAAGUGAAAACUGAAGUAGUUGAGGGAUCGACAAAGCCUCUGUCUGAAACUGAGGAGAGUUUUUUAAAAUCGAGCAAUGUGAACAGCCAGUAUCACAGUAACAAACGUGCUUCACCUGUUAUCCAGGGGCCUGUGCGGCAUCACAAGAAACAACACUUAUGUACUAACUCUGAAAUACCUGCAGAAGGGGACAGUGGCAUCUCCUCGGUGUCGAGUAUCGGGCCGACUUUGGCAAUUAAUGCUGCCUCAUCUCCUGAACUGAAUUCGGGCAUAUCUACACCCUCCACUCCUUCGACAUCUGCAGCAGGAGAACAAGGCUCGGAGAGAAGUAGCAGCAGAUUGAUAGAGGAGCGUGACGAAGGCACUGUCUUGUCACGUCAGUCUGGUGUGCACAAAUGUAGCUAGUCACUAGUAGGCUCGAUCGCUUUUUAGGAAUGGGGCAAACUAAUGGUUUAGAAAUGGACGAAGAGGAGGCUGAUGGUAGGAAAGUGGACAAAUGGCAGGACAAAAUAAGCAGCGGUUUCGACAGAUUGAUGUCUUUUGCCUCGACAGAAUUAGACAAACGCCGCCGAAGUACAGAAGGAUCUUCACCACGUGC